AUGAAUGGCUCGACUCUCAAAGCUGGAGCUCCAAGCACGGCUCUGCGCGGGGCCUUCCCGCCAGGUGCACACGGGGCCCGGCGGGAAACCACAGUCCCGAGCACACGGGUCUCCCGCUCGCCAGUCACUGAAGGGCCGCGAAGGGCUGCGGAAUCCCCACUAAGAGCAGGCGCGCAGGCGCACAGUGCACCGAGUCCCGCGCGGCUCCGCGCACUGAGGACACGCCCCCGCGAGCGCGCUGACGUCAUCUGCCGAGGCAUGGUCACGUGGCCGCGCGGCGUCGGGGCGGGGCUACGCCAUGGCGUCAGCGAUGGUGGCGUGGGUGGCAUGGCUAUGGCGCUCUGGAGCGGAGCUGUCUUUAUCCGCUGCCAUCGAGGGGCGCAGGCGGUAUCCGCCGGUCCCGGGCUAAGAAGGCGGCAGCCGCGAACAGGUGCACGGCCCCGGGAGGCGAGAGGGCUGACCGCCGGCACGAUGCCCCGGGUCCAGAAAGCCGCGGCUGCUUUGUUAUCCACAAGGAGAGGCGUCGGAGACGCCCACGGCCCCUGACACCGGCGCUGCUGCAUGGCUGCCCCAGCGCCUGGCACGAGCCACGUCGGCUGACGCCCCCAGGAUGCCAGAGCCGGAAGAGACCCGAGGAACGGUCCCCUCGGUGGCUGUCCGGCCGACCCGUGGGGCCUGUGCUCGGUGAGGACGUGGAGGGUUGUGGCCAGCAAGUCACCUCACUUGUGUUGGUCCUCGGGGUUCUGUGCUGAGUGCCCCAAGUCAUCUGGCUGAGAGAAGGUCCCAGGGGGUUUGCCGUCCCCAAG
rnacentral:lncRNA from 1 species